AGUGAACGCUGGCGGUAGGCCUAACACAUGCAAGUCGAACGGCAGCACAGUAAGAGCUUGCUCUUACGGGUGGCGAGUGGCGGACGGGUGAGGAAUACAUCGGAAUCUACUUUUUCGUGGGGGAUAACGUAGGGAAACUUACGCUAAUACCGCAUACGACCUACGGGUGAAAGCAGGGGAUCUUCGGACCUUGCGCGAGUGAAUGAGCCGAUGUCGGAUUAGCUAGUUGGCGGGGUAAAGGCCCACCAAGGCGACGAUCCGUAGCUGGUCUGAGAGGAUGAUCAGCCACACUGGAACUGAGACACGGUCCAGACUCCUACGGGAGGCAGCAGUGGGGAAUAUUGGACAAUGGGGGCAAGCCUGAUCCAGCCAUACCGCGUGGGUGAAGAAGGCGUUCGGGUUGUAAAGCCCUUUUGUUGGGAAAGAAAAGCAGCAGGUUAAUACCCCGCUGUUCUGACGGUACCCAAAGAAUAAGCACCGGCUAACUUCGUG
rnacentral:rRNA from 1 species